CCUACGGGUGGCUGCAGUGGGGAAUAUUGCACAAUGGGGGAAACCCUGAUCCAGCAACGCCGCGUGAGUGAGGAAGUAUUUCGGUAUGUAAAGCUCUAUUAGCAGGGAAUAGAAAAGAAGGUACCUGAACAAGAAGCCCCGGCUAACUACGUGCCAGCAGCCGCGGUAAUACGUAGGGGGCAAGCGGUAUGCGGAUUUAAUGGGGGUAAAGGGAGCGUAGACGGGAAGGCAAGUCAGAAGGGAAAACCCAGGGCUCAACCAUGGGACUGCUUUUGAAACUGUCAAACUAGAGUACGGGAGAGGUAAGAGGAAUGCCUGGUGUAGCGGUGAAAUGCGUAGAUAUUAGGAGGAACACCAGUGGCGAAGGCGGCUUACUGGACCGAAACUGACGUUGAGGCUCGAAAGCGUGGGGAGCAAACAGGAUUAGAUACCCCAGUAGUC
rnacentral:rRNA from 1 species